rnacentral:rRNA from 1 species
GGCGAACGCUGGCGGCGUGCUUAACACAUGCAAGUCGUACGGUAAGGCCCUUUCGUGGGUACUCGAGUGGCGAACGGGUGCGUAACACUUGAGUAACCGUCCCACAACUUUUGGAUAACGCUAGGAAACUGGUGCUAAUACUGGUUAUGUACUCCUGCGGCAUGGUGGGGUUUGGAAAGCUCCGGCGGUUGUGGAUGGACUCGCGGCCUAUCAGCUUGUUGGUGGGGUAGUGGCCUACCAAGGCGGCGACGGGUAGCCGGCCUGAGAGGGUGACCGGCCACAUUGGGACUGAGAUACGGCCCAGACUCCUACGGGAGGCAGCAGUGGGGAAUAUUGCACAAUGGGCGCAAGCCUGAUGCAGCAACGCCGCGUGCGGGAUGACGGCCUUCGGGUUGUAAACCGCUUUCGCCUGUGACGAAGCGUGAGUGACGGUAAUGGGUAAAGAAGCACCGGCUAACUACGUG